GGGUGUCAGUGGCAGACGGGUGAGUAACACGUGGGAACGUACCCUUCGGUUCGGAAUAACUCGGGGAAACUUGAGCUAAUACCGGAUACGCCCUUUUGGGGAAAGGUUUACUGCCGAAGGAUCGGCCCGCGUCUGAUUAGCUUGUUGGUGGGGUAACGGCCUACCAAGGCGACGAUCAGUAGCUGGUCUGAGAGGAUGAUCAGCCACACUGGGACUGAGACACGGCCCAGACUCCUACGGGAGGCAGCAGUGGGGAAUAUUGGACAAUGGGCGCAAGCCUGAUCCAGCCAUGCCGCGUGAGUGAUGAAGGCCUUAGGGUUGUAAAGCUCUUUUGUCCGGGACGAUAAUGACGGUACCGGAAGAAUAAGCCCCGGCUAACUUCGUGCCAGCAGCCGCGGUAAUACGAAGGGGGCUAGCGUUGCUCGGAAUCACUGGGCGUAAAGGGCGCGUAGGCGGCCGAUUAAGUCGGGCGUGAAAGCCUGUGGCUCAACCACAGAAUUGCCUUCGAUACUGGUUGGCUUGAGACCGGAAGAGGACAGCGGAACUGCGAGUGUAGAGGUGAAAUUCGUAGAUAUUCGCAAGAACACCAGUGGCGAAGGCGGCUGUCUGGUCCGGUUCUGACGC
rnacentral:rRNA from 1 species